UAAGCUAGUGUUAAAGUUAUAGGUGGUUGUG
rnacentral:piRNA from 1 species